AUGAAGAGUUGCCUCAAAGAGGUUCAAGAGAAGCAAGGAAGAAUAUUUAAUUUGGAAUCAGUUAGUGAAGAGGAGAUCCAACACGAGGCACACCUUGUAGAAGAACAACGACUUCAUGAAGUUUGGCGACGUAGGAGGAAUGAGCACAAGAAGAUGUCGGAAAUUUUUAAGCAUGUAUGGGGGAGUAUGAAGUUGUGGGCUGGUGGUAUCGUUGUAACAGAGCUCAUUUUAUUUGUUGAUGAUGUGCGACGCAACACUGCUAGUACUCCUACUAGCGUGGAAGAACCUAACAAGAAGUGCCCGUGUUGCGGCACUCACCUACACGAUUAA
rnacentral:rRNA from 1 species